AAUCGUCGUAGCAGGAGACACAUUCUACAAAUGACAGAAGGAGUGUAUAGAUUCAGAGACUGACAGAGUUCACAGACACAGCAGUCUGUACAGUCGUCACUCGCAGAAUUAUGUGGAAAGUGUGUCAGUGGAGAUUAGUACUAUAAUGACCCGGCUGGGAUACGGCGAGGAGAUGAGAAAGUGGCGCGUUAAGAAGUACAAGGAUUGGGAUAAGCUGUAGUUUGGUCGACAGAAAGAAAAAACUAUUAUCACAGCUGGCAGCAAGGCAGAAGGGUUGACUUGCUAUUUUGAAAGCGACCAUGACAUGCUACAUUUGCAGAACUUUAUCCUCUGUGUGGAAACUGGUAUCAGUCUUCACACCAUACCAGAGGACAUGGACGUGUUCAGGAUGGAUACACGCGUAUAUCCAGGACACUGCAUACUGUUGCUAGAGAGACUAGCGCAUUUUACAAUGAAAAUAAUAACCGCUCCGCUGUGUGAUAAUAGAUAUGGGGACGCUUUAUUUAGCAGUAGUUUAUUUCUAGAUGAAUGUUCCGCUUCACUGUCAUUUGAUCGUCGAUUACAGGUGGUGCAACAUAAACGCGCGGGGCCGUCAACACCACAUACAAUUAACGAGAAGAUACAUACGGACACAGUACAUGCCUUACGCUGUUUAUGCCCUAGUGUUCUACAAAGAUGGGCUGCCAGACCCCGCCAGUGGCCGUUACCAGUCAUAGUUAAGAAAGUAGUAUCAGUAGGAGCCUAUGUUACCCCGACAGGGUUUAAGGAUAGCGUAAACAAGCACAUCGAGUGGAGGAUUUGCUUUAACAGCGGAGAAACAGAACUUAUAAACAACCUUAAUGACACUCAAGCGAAAGUUUAUGUUAUACUAAAAAUGACUCUCAAAUAUAUACUGAAACCAAAAAAUAAAGAAAUUACAUCAUAUGUACUGAAAAACAUAGUAUUGUGGCAAGCUGAGCGUAACACACAGACACACUUUAGUGCAUACAGUUUGCUUCACUGGCUGCAUUACGGUCUGAGAGAACUAAGGAUGGGUAGCAGAUAUCACGGACAUGCUAGAAGAAGGUCCCAGGGUAAUACUUAGAUAGGAGAAGAUACGAAAGGCAAUCGUCGCGUCUGCAGAGCCGAUGGUGUGGUACAGUACGACACGGAUGGAGUUGGAGAUGCUGAUGCUGGAGAAUAGUACGAGAGUCAAGCCACGGACAGAUGAUAAUGGUGAUGAGCUGUUGGAAGACUCGAAUUUUGUUGAGAAUGCCAUAGUUUUACGCUUGGGGGAAGUAUGGGAAGAUAUGAGAGAACGAAUGCUUCUGGAGGGCAGUUCUGUUAAUGUUAAUGAUUGUAUAGAUAUUUUUGACGCAAUGUUAAUGUAAUAAUGAACUGAAAUACAGAAAUCACACGUAUAUCAUGGCUGUAAUUAUGACCACAACGUCACUGAAAUAAAUGCAGUUAGUCAUAAAUGGCACAUAGACGGUUUUUACGGUGUAUUAUUUUAAAAUAUAUGUGCAGUAUUUAUUAAGCGAAUAAAUAUUAAAUUAUUUCAUAGCUCUGGUAUUCAUGCAUGCUCAUUAAAUUAUGUUUUUAAUAUAACAUGUGGCAUCGGAGACAAUUGAACCGCUCGCUAAAAUGAAAGUAGUAUAGAAUAUUUCUGACCCUGGUGUGUUUAUGUACUUCACAUAUUGGACUUGUCUGCUUAAUAACGCCUACACUUUUUGACGGUGCUGGAACAGCAGCGUCCAAGGUUUGAUAACCAGUAAAAAAAUUCUUCACAAUUGCGACCUAUGUAAAAGACCGAGCCAGUCCGAUUGAGAUAACUCGAUUUUUCAGUUACUUCCCUUGGCAUUCGCCACUGCGUAGGAGAUUGCUCGUUGAUUUUCAUUGAUAACAUUCUCCUAGCAGAGUUGUCGUUCGUGUUGAUAAAGGUAAAUAUUAAUAGAACAGCAUAUCCUGGGGAAACAGAUUCAAUAAGUGUAUCAGAACGUUAAUUUCAAAUUAGUAAUUUUACA